rnacentral:rRNA from 1 species
UACGUAGGCAGCAAGCGUUGUUCGGAGUUACUGGGCGUAAAGGGUGUGUAGGCGGUUUUUUAAGUUUGGUGUGAAAUCUCCCGGCUCAACUGGGAGGGUGCGGUGGAGACUGCCGGACUGGAGGCACUCAGAGGCCGGUGGAAUUCCCGGUGUAGUGGUGAAAUGCGUAGAGAUCGGGAGGAACACCAGUGGCGAAGGCGGCCGGCUGGGGGUGACCUGACGCUGAGGCGCGAAAGCGUGGGGAGCGAACCGG